rnacentral:lncRNA from 1 species
AGAUCUCUCUCUCUGCGGAAGCCAGCCACCGCUCUCCAAGGACUCUCGAGCAGCUCCAUCUACAGAUUCACAUGGAGAAGAAUUAAGGGUUCCUGCCAAUCACCAGCACCACUUUGCCAGCCUUGUAAGUGGGCCACCUUGGAAUUGGAGCCUCCAGUUCCUACUGACAUCUGACUGCAACAUCAUGAGAGACCCUGAGUUUGAACCACCCAGCUGAGCUGCUUCUGAGCUAACCCACUGAAACCGUGAAAGUACCUGAAUGAAACAACACCCAGUAGCCACUAGCACACCUAGCUCCCAGAUCUGUUUUUGAUGCCAUUCUUCAGUAAAAGGAAGCAAGGCUGCUUGGAGAAAUUGCUAUCAAGGACUGGGGUAGAAAAUAUACAAGAUGAAAUUGGAGCAUCUUGUAGUGCUUGAAAACAGUUGGCAUCUGUGUGAAGAUGUGAAUGGAGGAGGCAGAGUAGGCAGUGAGUGCCGCAGCCACAGCUUGUGUUCUCUGCAGCCCUGGCACAGAAGAUAGGAACACUCAUGGGGGAUGCGGCCACUGUGAUGUCUUCCCACACAAGAAGUGCCAAGUGCUUUUCUCAUGCUUUUCUGGAUUGUCCCAUGGUGGACGAGUCAGCAGGAGUGAGAUGGAGCAGCACAGUAGAGGGCACCUGCUCUGUUUUGUCCCAGGCCAGGAUAUCGUUGUACAUAUUCUCAGCUAAGUGAGCACCAAUAGAGGAGAGGGAGAGUCUCAUGGAAGUUCCUUCUAAGCCUUUGGCUCUUUUUACCUUCAACAAGGUGUGCCACCUCUUUGAUCCAGCAAGUGGGAAGAACAGUCCCGGCCUCUUUGCACACAAGACCGUGAUACCAAUGCACCAUCACAGGCCCCACAGGGGAGCUGUCCGCUUCCCCACACAGCUGCUAGGGGCUCUUUUGCAUGUUCCCAACCUUUCCUGCCUUUAUCUGAUAUUCGUUCCUUAGAUCCUGGGAUGAGGAGGUGGACCAGCAGAAGGUGGGCUUGUGAAGGCAGCCCGGGGUCCAAAUCCUCCUGGCUCUUCAGCUUAGCGGGUUAGUUAACAUUCAGAAGCCUUCAUCUCCCAUCUGCAAAAUGGGCAUGUCCAACUCAGAAGCUGCCUUGAAGAAAGGGUCUACCCAGCAUGGUGCGUGGAGCCUAAGCAGUCAGUACUUCAGGACUUCACCCGGCCCCUUUCCAAUAACUGCUGCUGUCGCCCUCACAGGAUGUCACCUUCAGCGUCUGAAAGCUGGGUUUGAUGCGUCUGGAAAGGCGUCCCUGACAGGCGUCGUUGCCAGGAGCCCCUAGUGCCACCAGCAGCCAGCAGGGGAGGGCGUCCUCUGCCCGCUCACUUCUGACCCUUCUCUCGUUGCACCCGGAACAUGGUGCAGCUGGGAGCAGCCUGGGCUGCGCGGAAGGCUCAGAUUUGGGGACGGCCCUUGCCAGUGACUGUGAGCUGGGGUGUCUUGGAAACUCCCAGUCUCAGCUUCUCCAUUUAUAAGAUGAGAAUGAUCAUACCAGACUCAGGCAAGGUUGUUUGUGCAUUAGUGAAAUCAGACGUAUUAAAUAAAGUACCACAUUGAUCGUGGAGUUGUUGAAUAACCAAGAACACGCCUAUCUGUCUCCAAAAAAUAAAUGUUG